AGGAAAAAGGAAAGACAGAGGGAGAAAAGAAAAGAGAAGCCCUACUGAAAGAGAUUGACACACGGACAGCUUGCUCUGUUGACCUGCAUUCCUCUUUUCUUUCUUUAUCACCAGAUCGCGUGCUCUAUCUUUCUCUUUCUCUCU
rnacentral:ribozyme from 11 species